GCCUGGUUGGCCGAAUGGUUAAGGCGCUGCGGGGCGGGGUAACACUCGCAAGUGGAACCCAUCAGCGUGUACCCUCCUUAGCCGUGUUAGUCCGUACUCGAAAGAUCCUGGUUCGAAUCCAGGACCGGGCA
rnacentral:tRNA from 1 species